rnacentral:rRNA from 1 species
UACGAAGGGGGCUAGCGUUGUUCGGAAUUACUGGGCGUAAAGCGCACGUAGGCGGAUAUUUAAGUCAGGGGUGAAAUUCCCGGGGGCUCAACCCCGGAACUGCCUUUGAUACUGGGUAUCUCGAGUCCGAGAGAGGUGAGUGGAAUUCCGAGUGUAGAGGUGAAAUUCGUAGAUAUUCGGAGGAACACCAGUGGCGAAGGCGGCUCACUGGCUCGGUACUGACGCUGAGGUGCGAAAGCGUGGGGAGCAAACAGG